rnacentral:rRNA from 1 species
GGACUACCCGGGUUUCUAAUCCCGUUUGCUCCCCUGGCUUUCGCGCCUCAGCGUCAGUAGGUGUCCAGCACGCCGCUUUCGCCACCGGCGUUCCUUCCGAUAUCUACGCAUUUCACCGCUCCACCGGAAGUUCCGCAUGCCCCUACACCCCUCGAGACCGCCAGUAUCCACGGCACUUCCCCGGUUGAGCCGGGGGCUUUCACCACAGACUUGGCGGCCCGCCUACGCGCCCUUUAAGCCCAGUGAAUCCGAACAACGUUUGCACGGUUCGUCUUACCGCGGCUGCUGGCAC